rnacentral:lncRNA from 1 species
GAGCGGGAGAGGAGCGAGGGGGCGGCGGGGGGAGCGCCGGGCCCGCCCCGUCCCCGCGGGAAGGACGCCGGGAUCCGCGUAAAGGUGAAGCCGGGCGGUGCCGAUAGUACAUACACAGCAGCCCCUGACAGCGCCUUGUCACUUGCGCGGCUCAGCGUCGCUUCGAGCGCUGUCGAGGAAACGCAGUCACCCAAUGAGGAGCGAAGGGAAACUGAGGCACGGGCUGUCCCGGGGGCACGCAGCCCCCCCGGCCCCACCUCGCUCUGCAGGUGCCGUCCUCCCGCCCCGCACCCCGCUCACGUCCCAGCACGGCGGUUCGUAGUGUAACCCCGCCGCUGCCUGAAUGGUGAGCGCUCGAGAUUCUACCUCCUCCCGCCCCCAGUUGGUUCACAGUGAUAAAGUUUGGAUCCAAAGGCGCGCUCAGGUGUGGGGGCUCUGCUCCUGCCCUCGCUUUGCUGCUUGGUCACAAAGUUCAGCCGUGGGGCUGUGCUCAGCUGCGAGCUUCGGCCCCUCAGAAAUAAAUCCUUCUCCAAAUUCUGGUGCCUGUGACGAGGAAAUGAGCGCUGCGAGCUGACAGCUCUCUGCAUUCACAGCUCUGUCUUCGAGGGGGAAAAAAAAGAAAAGCAGAUGUGGGAAACUUAGGAAAACUUUUGAAACGUGCCCUUGGCCGUGGGUGAUCCCCCUGUCCCUUUGGAGGAUGGCAACAGGAUUGGAAGUGACAAGGGCUCACUGCUGGAAGUGUCUUUGCUUUGAUCACUCUCCUCGCUGUGUCUGCUCACUCCGAGCGAGGGAAAGGGCUGCACUGCCGGUUUUCUUUUCUUUUUCUUUGUUUUUAAAGGGGGAUGGGAGGGGGAUAUAUUUUUAAAGGUGGGAUAUAUCCGAGUACUUCAUGUGUAAAGAACGGUCCCUGUCACAAGGGCCUGAUUCUGCUCUUAUUGACGCCGCCGCGAAUUCAUCCAGGGAGCAUCAGCAGCGCGUGUGCGGGGCAGAGGAGCGCUGGGUGCGGGUGUGCGUUGCUGCGGGGUCUGAGCCUUCCUCGGCCCCUCCUCGCAGACAAACCCUUGGAGGAGGAUGCACCAGAGGUGCCACAGCAGAGUGCACUUUAAUUCAAGAAGGAUGAAUUGGAGGUGUGAUAUGAUGCUAGCACUUGCACUUCAACUCUUUGGCCUCUUUGGCCAUAUGGGUUAACAAGAAAGAAGCAAUUUUCAGAAAGCAAAUGCAUGCAAAAGAUUGCAUCUUGCCUGGAAUUCCUGAGGUUAUCUGUGCCCAUAGUUUGGAGGCAUGGUCGCCAUCCCAUUUGCAGCAGUGUCUGUUUGCACAAAGACAGACAUAGCCAUCCCUGCAAGUCUCUCCCUUCAAAGUGCUGAAUUUCAGAUUGCAGCCAAAGACCCAAGGCUCAGCUCUCAACCUGUGAUCAAGGAAGAGUCUUCUGGAGGCAUCCACAGGCCAGAGGCAUCCACAGGUCUUCUGGAGGCCAGAAAGGAUAAAUAUCUUACAGGGAACUUGCCUUUUUCUUGGUACACAGUUGAUGUUUUAUCUGAAAUCUGG